rnacentral:rRNA from 1 species
UACGUAGGGGGCAAGCGUUGUCCGGAAUCAUUGGGCGUAAAGAGCGUGUAGGCGGCCCGAUAAGUCCGCUGUGAAAGCCCAGGGCUCAACCCUGGGAUGCCGGUGGAUACUGUCGGGCUAGAGUUCGGAAGAGGCAAGUGGAAUUCCUGGUGUAGCGGUGAAAUGCGCAGAUAUCAGGAGGAACACCUAUGGCGAAGGCAGCUUGCUGGGACGACACUGACGCUGAGACGCGAAAGCGUGGGGAGCAAACAGG